UUUAAAAUUAUUAAUUUUAUUAAAAACAUUUAUAAUUGCAACUCGCAUAAUGCAUAAUUUAUAACUUAAUAAAAUAUAUUAUAUUAAAAACUUUACGGAUUUUUUUAAAAUCAACUGAGAAAAGCUAAGUUAUGUCAACAGUAAAUUAAACUAGUUAAGUUCAUAAGUUGAUUAGAACAUUAAAUAACUAGUUAAGUUAAAAAGUUUAAAAAAAAAUUAACUUUUUAACUAGUUAUUGCCCACCUUUGGUUAUAUAGUUUGCCAACCCCCCUUCCAGCAAAAUGUACGAGGUAAUAAAUGGGGUGUGCUUAUGCCGGCUUGCAAAGAGGAGAUUCAGAAUGGAAUGUCAAGGACGGAGAAGAUUUGAAUUAAAUAUGAUACAUUUACAUUGGUUAAUUCUUGAUAAGACAUAGAAUUUAUUGUACUCUUAAAAGUCAUGUAGAACAUAGUUAUGUAUUUUUAAUUCUUUUUUUUUAACUUUUAUAUUUUUCAAACUAUUCUGAACUUAUAAUAAAUUGUAAAUAAAUAAUUGUAAGGGAAUAUUUAUAAAUGACUAUAUUUCAGUAAACUAAAUUUAAAAAACUCAUUUCUCCAUUAAAUGUUUUCUCAUUAUUUCAUUAUUCUAAAAAUAAUAUUAAGUACUUAAUAAUUUAAUUAAAAUUGUGUUUAAAGUUAUUAUCGACAAAAUCAAAUAUUAGUUUAUUUCUAUUCUUUUUCUUUAUCACAACACAUAAUAUUAAAUAAUAAAUAGUAACCCAAGUUAUUAACAUCGUAAGUUAAUAAUAUCUAAUUGUUCAAAUACAGCCAGUACCUAUUAUGGGCUAAUAUAGAUUAGACGAUGUAUUUAUACAAUAUCUCAUAAAAGUACCGGUAAUAUUAUGAUAUUAUGUUGUUACAUCAUACUACAUCAAAAUGUUUACAAGAAUUCAAUGUAUCUUAUAGAAGCAAAAAUACAUUGAAAAUGUCGCAUUACGAGCUUUUGAUACGUGUUCAUAGAAUUAUCUAAGUAUAUUUAGCACCUUACCUUUUUAGUGUAAUUGUUGUAUGCACAAUGCACAUUAAGGUAGAUUUCUUAUUAUUUUUUUUAAUUAAAAAAAGUAGUCUAAUAAAUAAAAUCGACCUUUACCUGUUUCAGCAACAGCUCACUUAAAGUAAAUAUUUUGCAAUAUUUAUAAUACGUCAUCUAAAUCAAGAAUAGGUACAUCGCACUUUCAAUAACUGGAAGUCUGCUCGUCCUUUCAUUUGUUUCUAGGGAGGACAUUGAGACAGUCAAUGAAUCAUCAACUAAUAUUCUUUCAAUAUUUCUAGACCUGGUGGAAUUUGAUGAUCAAUCUAAAAGUAAAUUGCUUCUUCUCAAAAGAAACAUUGAAGGCUGUUGAAAAUUAAAAAUAGAAGCUUGUAAUAUUAACAUGUAUCUAUCAAGAUGUGAUGAAUAGAAUUCCAGAUGGCAACCAAAUUGGCUGUAAUACACUCUCUCUGAAAAGUGGUAUUUUCUUUUACCUCAAAUUAUGUUAAAUACAAUUUAAUACAAGACAUAGUUUAUUAGGAACAUAUUUGUCACAAGAUAAUUAUCCUGAUCCUAUAACAAUUCUAUACCGAGGACAACCGUUUUUAUUUGCUACCUUUGUUCGACUUAAAUGCCAAUUAGCCACAGCUUUGCCACAUUUAGCUGUGGGUUUAAAAUUUGUUUGACAAAGCUGAGGUAUUUAGACUGUUCCAAGUUAGCUUAUAAAAACGACAGACCUUGUCACAUCAGAGUUGCCACUAUUUCAAAACAAUAAGGAUAUAUGUAAUAUAACCUAAAUAAUAGAUGGAAUUGAUAUAAAAUUAUAACCUGAUUCACCCAACUUAUGAAUAAAUAUGUUGUUUGCA